rnacentral:rRNA from 1 species
UACGAAGGGGGCUAGCGUUGCUCGGAAUUACUGGGCGUAAAGGGCGCGUAGGCGGACAGUUUAGUCAGAGGUGAAAGCCCAGGGCUCAACCUUGGAAUUGCCUUUGAUACUGGCUGUCUUGAGUUCGGGAGAGGUAAGUGGAACUGCGAGUGUAGAGGUGGAAUGCGUAGAGAUCCGGAAGAACACCGGUGGCGAAGGCGGUCUGCUGGGCAGUUGCUGACACUGAGGCGCGACAGCGUGGGGAGCGAACCGG